rnacentral:rRNA from 1 species
CAAUCGAACCCGGAGAUAGCUGGUUCUCCUCGAAAUAGCUUUAGGGCUAGCCUCGCAUUAGUUUACCGGAGGUAGAGCACUGAAUGGUCUAGGGGGCCUCACCGCCUACCGAAACCUAUCAAACUGCGAAUGCCGGAUAAAUGAUGUGCGGGAGUCAGGCCGCGAGAGAUAAGUUCCGCGGUCAAAAGGGGAACACCCCAGAUCGUCUGCUAAGGUCCCCAAGUACGCGUUAAGUGGGAAAGGAUGUUGGAUUGCACAGACAACCAGGAUGUUGGCUUAGAAGCAGCCACACAUUCAAAGAGUGCGUAAUAGCUCACUGGUCGAGUGAUCCAGCGCCGAAAAUGUAACGGGGCUAAAACGCGACACCGAAGCAGCGGGAUGCGUAAGCAUCGGUAGAGGAGCAUUGUGUGAGGGUUGAAGCCAGAGCGGGAGCACUGGUGGACUUCACAGAAGAGAGAAUGCCGGUAUGAGUAGCGAGACCCAUGCGAGAAACAUGGGCGUCGAAGGCCCAAGGUUUCCUGGGGAAGGUUCAUCCACCCAGGGUAAGUCGGGACCUAAGCCGAGGACUGAGGUCGUAGGCGAUGGACAGCAGGUAGAGAUUCCUGCACCACUUACACUUGUUUGACGAAGCAGUGACACAGAAGGAUAGGACGAGCGCGGUGAUGGUCAACCGCGUAGGCGGCACGAGGCUGGGGAGCAGUUAAGUACACUUCCCGGGAAGGCUGAGUGCUGACAGGACCGAAAAAGAGUAGGGAAGCGUCUGAGUUCACGCUGGCGAGAAAAGCUGCUAAGGAGAGUGUGAGUGCCCGUACCGGAAACCGACGCAGGUGGGCGAGGAGAGAAUCCUGAGACGGACGGGAGAACUCUUGUUAAGGAACUCGGCAAAAUGACCCCGUAACUUCGGGAGAAGGGGUGCCUCGAAAGAGGCCGCAGAGAAUAGUCACAAGCGACUGUUUAGCAAAAACACAGGUAUCUGCGAAAGCGAGAGCUGACGUAUAGGUGCUGACGCCUGCCCGGUGCUGGAAGGUUAAGGGGAAGUGUUAGGGGAAACCCGAAGCAGAGAACCGAAGCCCCAGUAAACGGCGGCCGUAACUAUAACGGUCCUAAGGUAGCGAAAUUCCUUGUCGGGUAAGUUCCGACCCGCACGAAUGGUGUAACGAUCUGGACACUGUCUCAACUACCCACCCGGCGAAAUUGUAGUACCGGUGAAGAUGCCGGUUACCCGCGGCAAGACGGAAAGACCCCAUGGAGCUUUACUGUAACCUGAUAUUGGGUUUCGGUAUUUUAUGUACAGGAUAGGUGGGAGACUAUGAAACUAAGGCGCCAGCCUUAGCGGAGUCGCCCUUGGGAUACCACUCUUAAAGUACUGAAAUUCUAACCUGCGGCCGUGAAUCCGGUCGGGGGACAUUGUCAGGCGGGCAGUUUGACUGGGGCGGUCGCCUCCAAAAGAGUAACGGAGGCGCUCAAAGGUUCGCUCAGCAUGGUCGGAAACCAUGCCUUAGAGUGUAAACGCAAAAGCGAGCCUAACUGCGAGGCUGACGGGCCGAGCAGUAACGAAAGUUGGAGUUAGUGAUCCGGCGGUAUGUGAAUGGAAAUGCCGUCGCUCAACGGAUAAAAGCUACCCUGGGGAUAACAGGCUGAUCUCCCCCAA